AGGGGUAUAGUUCUUCGGAACUAGAGACCGGCGCACGGGUGCGUAACGCGUAUGCAAUCUACCUUUCACAGAGGGAUAGCCCAGAGAAAUUUGGAUUAAUACCUCAUAGUAUAAUGAGUUGGCAUCAACACAUUAUUAAAGUCACAACGGUGAAAGAUGAGCAUGCGUCCCAUUAGCUAGAUGGUAAGGUAACGGCUUACCAUGGCUACGAUGGGUAGGGGUCCUGAGAGGGAGAUCCCCCACACUGGUACUGAGACACGGACCAGACUCCUACGGGAGGCAGCAGUGAGGAAUAUUGGACAAUGGGCGCAAGCCUGAUCCAGCCAUGCCGCGUGCAGGAUGACGGUCCUAUGGAUUGUAAACUGCUUUUGUACGGGAAGAAACACUGGUUCGUGAACCAGCUUGACGGUACUGUAAGAAUAAGGAUCGGCUAACUCCGUGCCAGCAGCCGCGGUAAUACGGAGGAUCCAAGCGUUAUCCGGAAUCAUUGGGUUUAAAGGGUCCGUAGGCGGUUUAGUAAGUCAGUGGUGAAAGCCCAUCGCUCAACGGUGGAACGGCCAUUGAUACUGCUAAACUUGAAUUAUUAGGAAGUAACUAGAAUAUGUAGUGUAGCGGUGAAAUGCUUAGAGAUUACAUGGAAUACCAAUUGCGAAGGCAGGUUACUACUAAUGGAUUGACGCUGAUGGACGAAAGCGUGGGUAGCGAACAGGAUUAGAUACCCUGGUAGUCCACGCCGUAAACGAUGGAUACUAGCUGUUGGAAGCAAUUUCAGUGGCUAAGCGAAAGUGAUAAGUAUCCCACCUGGGGAGUACGUUCGC
rnacentral:rRNA from 1 species